CGCAGGUCUCCUCAGAAGAGGCCACGGAAAAGUACCCGUGAACUCUGUGUUCGCCCUUUCCCUUGUUACCAGCUGCAGACGUUUUUAGGGACAACAGUGUGUGUGCAUCACUACAUGAAACCGUUUUUCAGUAACGAUGGAGUCAGCGGCCUUUGCUCAAUUUCAUACCAAGCAGCCUUGGAAGUAACAAACAAACAAACAAACAAACAAACCAACCCACCUCCUUGCUUCUACGGCAGCUUUACAAUCUGUCAAGUGGGCGGCAGAUUUGUUUUUUAAAAACACUGCUCCAUGAGAAUGGCACAUCAUAUCUUAUAGAUCAAAACUUUGGGGUUUUGUUUCUUAGGGGAUAUAUAUGUAUAUACACAUACAUAUGUAUGUAUGUAUGUUUUUUUUCUUGUGACCUGCCUUGGUUUAUUAUCUCGUGGUGUCCUGGGGCGCAGCAGGUAUUGAUAACCCACGCGACGCGAGAGAGGGAACAGUUCAAGCCUGUGACCAGACGAGGGGGUGAACACUCCACAAAUGAAAGCAGCAGCUCCAGAAGAGCUUGAUGGAGCAAAGGACGCUGCCAGGACCAGCUUCCCGGUGGCUGAAGAGUUACGGAUGGACGGAGCAGCCUCCAGGGCCCUUGCAGACUGCUGUGCUACAGCCCCCAAGGGAAGGGGCUCAUCCUGCUGCUGCCCCAAGUGAAAAGCAAGACACCCUCCCCCCUCCCCCAUUUAGCACGUCUGCAAGAGGAAGUUAAGGGAUAACGCAUCAUUUCUGCGGGAAAUUCCAGCCCUGUUACCCUUCAUGCUGCUGACCCCUUUCACUGCCAGUCAGGCAGAUGCAGGGUCCUUCCUUAGGAAAAGCUGCCGCAGAAGCCAGGGAGGGAGCAGGAGUAAUCCCCAGCACCUAGCCCUCUCCAAGGAGGGCCUACCAACUGGCACUGCAACCUCCCUUUCGACUGCAACGAGCAAAGUAAAUCCUCACCCACGCCCACAACGAUAAUCGCAGCACUGAAGUCAACCUGAAACAGCCAACUUCGUCAAGAGAGAUUUUUGUCUGAUGUCCGUUUCAAGCACAAAAAGGAAACCAAUCGUCUCCAAUGUGAACAAAAACUAUAAUUGUCAAAUCAGGACCUUAAUAUGUAGUUAGCUGUUUCAUCAUUUUGAAUUAAUUGAAACUGGCGAAAGGAUACAAUUGGUCUCAUAAUGAUACCAGAACAAUAGAUUUGGGGAGUGUGUGUGUGUGUGACAUUGCCUUACAAAAGAGACCAGCCGUCUGACACAACAUUUCUAAAAGAAGACAAAGAACUCCUAAUUAUGUUAAAUUUCAUUUGCUAAGUAAUUUAGAACAUGAUUUAGUGCUUCUAAAAAAAACUGUACAAAAUGAUUUUUUUACAUCUCAGAGGCACAUGAAUACAAACGUGAUCUAUAUUAUAUAUACACAUUUACAUUACAUGAAAACUAGGGAUGAAGAUCAAAUGAAAAAAGUGUAUACAAAAAGUGCCCCAAACCAGCAGAUAAAAUGUGAAAACAAAAUGCGCUCUUACAACAGAGAAGUAAAGGCACAAGCACUAAAAUGUAUAAUCAUGCAAAAAAGUGUAAGUACAAUACUGUGCAACAAAGCAAAACAAAUGGCUCCCACAACAGAUUUUACAGUAAUUCUCAAAAUAUCCCAGUAUUUAAACAUACUGAAGUGCAACAUUUGCUGCCCUGUAGCAUAACGUGAAUACAUUGCUCACAUGGCAUGAAAUUCUUCCCCUUUCCUCCCAACUUCCAUUCUCCAAAGCCAGAAUAAAUUAGCUAAGGGCAAGGUAUUAAACAAGAUGGGGACUGAUGUUGGGUAGCAUAGCAAGAUCGCUGCUCCAACUGCCUGUGUGGAAUAGUAACUACAGCACUUCUGCACCCAUCGUCUUCUGCACAGUGAACGCGUGUCUACCCAGGACAACUGGCUCCCUGCCCUUUGUCAGUGCACAACGGCUUGAGACGGGGUUUGCCAGGGUGAAUUUCAGUCUGCUGAGAACGGAGAGGCAAAAGGUGACAGCUCAGAUGUCACAGUUGCACCACUAACAACCUCCAUAUAUAUAUAUAAAAAACACAGUAGUGUAUACGUUCCAGGGCUAGGUUGCUGAACUAUACCACAACAGUUAAACUUUAAACCUAGUGAAAAACCUGAAGUAAAAAGUAUCCUUCCUCUAAUUAUAUGAUUGAAUAGGUACUACUCUCACAGUUGAGCAAAGCUUCAAGACUUACAGCUUAUUGUUUUUGGCCAAAAAAAAAAAAAAA